AUCGUAAAACUCUGUUAUUAGGGAAGAACAAAUGUGUAAGUAACUAUGCACGUCUUGACGGUACCUAAUCAGAAAGCCACGGCUAACUACGUGCCAGCAGCCGCGGUAAUACGUAGGUGGCAAGCGUUAUCCGGAAUUAUUGGGCGUAAAGCGCGCGUAGGCGGUUUUUUAAGUCUGAUGUGAAAGCCCACGGCUCAACCGUGGAGGGUCAUUGGAAACUGGAAAACUUGAGUGCAGAAGAGGAAAGUGGAAUUCCAUGUGUAGCGGUGAAAUGCGCAGAGAUAUGGAGGAACACCAGUGGCGAAGGCGACUUUCUGGUCUGUAACUGACGCUGAUGUGCGAAAGCGUGGGGAUCAAACAGGAUUAGAUACCCUGGUAGUCCACGCCGUAAACGAUGAGUGCUAAGUGUUAGGGGGUUUCCGCCCCUUAGUGCUGCAGCUAACGCAUUAAGCACUCCGCCUGGGGAGUACGACCGCAAGGUUGAAACUCAAAGGAAUUGACGGGGACCCGCACAAGCGGUGGAGCAUGUGGUUUAAUUCGAAGCGACGCGAAGAACCUUACC
rnacentral:rRNA from 1 species